rnacentral:rRNA from 1 species
UGCCAGCCGCCGCGGUAAUACGGAGGGUGCGAGCGUUAAUCGGAAUUACUGGGCGUAAAGCGCGCGUAGGCGGUUGAGUGAGUCAGAUGUGAAAGCCCUGGGCUUAACCUGGGAAUGGCAUUUGAUACUGCUUGGCUAGAGUCUGACAGAGGGUGGCGGAAUUCCGGGUGUAGCGGUGAAAUGCGUAGAUAUCCGGAGGAACACCAGUGGCGAAGGCGGCCACCUGGGUCAAGACUGACGCUGAGGUGCGAAAGCGUGGGGAGCGAACAGGAUUAGAUA